GUCCACGCCGUAAACGAUGGGUACUAGGUGCUUGGGGAGCGACCCCCGGGUGCCGGCGCUAACGCAUUAAGUACCCCGCCUGGGGAGUACGGCCGCAAGGCUGAAACUCAAAAGGAAUUGACGGGGCCCGCACAAGCGGUGGAGCAUGUGGUUUAAAUUCGACGCAACGCGAAGAACCUUACCUGGGCUUGACAUGCACGGGAAACCUCGUGGAAACACGGGGCCCUCUUCGGAGUCCGUGCACAGGUGCUGCAUGGCUGUCGU
rnacentral:rRNA from 1 species